AUUGAACGCUGGCGGCAUGCUUUACACAUGCAAGUCGAACGGUAACAGGCCGCAAGGUGCUGACGAGUGGCGAACGGGUGAGUAAUGCAUCGGAACGUGCCCAGUCGUGGGGGAUAACUGCUCGAAAGAGUAGCUAAUACCGCAUACGAUCUAUGGAUGAAAGCGGGGGACCGUAAGGCCUCGCGCGAUUGGAGCGGCCGAUGUCAGAUUAGGUAGUUGGUGGGGUAAAGGCUCACCAAGCCAACGAUCUGUAGCUGGUCUGAGAGGACGACCAGCCACACUGGGACUGAGACACGGCCCAGACUCCUACGGGAGGCAGCAGUGGGGAAUUUUGGACAAUGGGCGCAAGCCUGAUCCAGCAAUGCCGCGUGCAGGAAGAUGGCCUUCGGGUUGUAAACUGCUUUUGUACGGAACGAAACGGCUCUGGUUAAUACCCGGGGCUAAUGACGGUACCGUAAGAAUAAGCACCGGCUAACUACGUG
rnacentral:rRNA from 1 species